rnacentral:tRNA from 1 species
GGCGGGUGAGAGUGCUGGGUGCUCGGCGGUUUCAUAAGCCGCAUCGGGCCGGUUCGAUUCCGGCACCCGCCACCG